CCUAGUAAGCGUGAGUCAUCAGCUCGCGUUGAUUACGUCCCUGCCCUUUGCACACACCGCCCGUCGCUACUACCGAUUGAAUGGCUUAGUGGGACCCUCGGAUUGUAGGUUGUGUCGUUGGCAACAACACACGACUCGCGAGAAGUUGGUCAAACUUGGUCAUUUAGAGGAAGUAAAAGUCGUAACAAGGUUUCCGUAGGUGAACCUGCGGAAGGAUCAUUAAAAAAGGGUCUUUUUUGACCCAUUUUUAAAAACCUACUACCAAUUCUUACCCAUCGGGUCAGAUGGAAGUGGGUUUUUUUCAAACUCCAAAAUUUUUUAACUAUUCGUCUUGAUGACGAAAACCCAAAAUUAAUAAAUAAAACUUUCAACAAUGGAUCUCUUGGCUCUCGUAUCGAUGAAGAACGCAGCGAAUUGCGAUAAGUAGUGUGAAUUGCAAAAUCUGUGAAUCAUCGAAUCUUUGAACGCAUAUUGCGCUCUCUGGUAUUCCGGAGAGAAUGCCUGUUUGAGGGUAAUUAAAAAGAAAUCUUUAAUCUCUUUUGAGGUUAAAGGAUAUGGGUAUUCCGUGUCAUUAGCGGUAACCUGAAAUAAAUAGUAGUCUUCAUCUAGUCGAGACGCGUAAUAAUAUUAUUUCGUGAAACGAUUAAUGAGCUACUUAGUUUUAAUGACUCUAAUAAUUCAUUAGAUUUGUUAAAACAAAUAAAUUUUGACAUUACCUCAAAUCAGGUAAGACUACCCGCUGAACUUAAGCAUAUCAAUAAGCGGAGGAAAAGAAACUAACCAGGAUUCCCCUAGUAACGGCGAGUGAAGCGGGAAAAGUUCAAAUUUUAAAUCAGACUGACUUGUCGGUCCGAGUUGUAAUUUGAAGAAAUGUUAUCAAGUCAUUUUGAUCGAAUCCAAGUUCCUUGGAAUAGGACAUCAAAGAGGGUGAGAAUCCCGUCUAGAUUCGAACAAGUGGCGAUAUGUUAACUUUUCUAAGAGUCGAGUUGUUUGGGAUUGCAGCUCAAAAUGGGUGGUAAAUUCCAUCUAAGGCUAAAUAUAGACGAGAGGCCGAUAGCGAACAAGUACCGCGAGGGAAAGAUGAAAAGAACUUUGAAAAGAGAGUUAAAUAGUACGUGAAAUUGUUGAAAGGGAAACGAUUAAAGUCAGUAGUGCCGGCGGGAAAUCAACUUACAGGUUACUGUGAGUGCACUUUUUCGCAAGGCAGGUUAGCAUCGGUUUUGGUCGUGUUAAAAUGAGAGCAGGAAGGUGGCUCCCUCGGGAGUGUUAUAGCCUGUUCUAGAUGACAUGGACAAGACCGAGGAUUGCAGCGAACACCUUUAGGUUACUGAUCUGGCCUCUGUGAAUGGCUCGCCUACCUUGAGCUUGCUCGAGUCUGGUUGGUUUAUUUACAAUAGGUUCAGAAUCAGAUAAAUUCGCUAAGGAUGCUGACGUAAUGGCUUUAAACGACCCGUCUUGAAACGCGGACCAAGGAG
rnacentral:rRNA from 1 species